UACCUGGUUGAUCCUGCCAGUAGCA
rnacentral:piRNA from 9 species